rnacentral:rRNA from 1 species
AUUGAACGCUAGCGGGAUGCCUUACACAUGCAAGUCGAACGGAGUGGCGAACGGGUGAGUAAUGUAGCGGAACGUGCCCAGUGGCGGGGGAUACCUACGCGCAAGCGUACCUAAUCCCGCAUCCUAUUGGAGCGGCCGCUAUCGUAUUAGCUGGUUGGUGCGGUAACGGCUCACCAAGGCGACGAGCCGUCGCUGGUUUGAGAGGAGGACCAGCCACACUGGGACUGAGACACGGCCCAGACUCCUACGGGAGGCAGCAGUGGGGAAUUGUGGACAAUGGGGGAAACGCUGAUCCAGCAAGCCCGCGUGAGCGAAGAAGGCUUUCGGGGUGUAAAGAACUGUUGGCAGGAAAGCGGUACCUGAAGAAUAAGCAACGGCUAACUACGUGCCAGCAGCCGCGGUAAUAC